UUCCUACUGGCUCAGACGGUAAAGAAUCCACCUCCAAUGUGGGAGACCUGAGUUCAAUCCCUAGGUUGGAAA
rnacentral:tRNA from 1 species